GAUGAACGCUGGCGGCGUGCCUAAUACAUGCAAGUCGAGCGAACAGACGAGGAGCUUGCUCCUUUGACGUUAGCGGCGGACGGGUGGCUAACACGUGGAUAACCUACCUAUAAGACUGGGAUAACUUCGGGAAACCGGAGCUAAUACGGGAUAACAUGUUGAACCGAAUGGUUCAACGGUGAAAGACGGUCUUGCUGUAACUUAUAGAUGGAUCCGCGCCGCAUUAGCUAGUUGGUAAGGUAACGGCUUACCAAGGCAACGAUGCGUAGCCGACCUGAGAGGGUGAUCGGCCACACUGGAACUGAGACACGGUCCAGACUCCUACGGGAGGCAGCAGUAGGGAAUCUUCCGCAAAGGGCGAAAGCCUGACGGAGCAACGCCGCGUGAGUGAAGAAGGUCUUCGGAUCGUAAAACUCUGUUAUUAGGGAAGAACAAAUGUGUAAGUAACUAUGCACGUCUUGACGGUACCUAAUCAGAAAGCCACGGCUAACUACGUG
rnacentral:rRNA from 1 species